rnacentral:misc_RNA from 1 species
UACACUGUCAGUGGGAAACGUUGCUUAAACAUAGGGGAACAUAGAUUCACGAUCCAUCAGAAUGAGGGUCCAAGGAUAAGGUGGAGGUGUGUUAAGAAGACUUCUGGGUGCGCGGCCUUUGUGACGACCAUCGAAAACAUCAUCAUACGCGUCCGACAAGUUCAUAACCACGUUUAGAUUCUUGUUGGGAAUGUUACCUGUCAAAUAUGCUUGAAUUGACUUAAAAAAAAGGAAAAGUAUGACUUAUUACUUCUACAUUUUCUUCGACUUUAAAAAAAAAAAUCAAGUCAAGUAUAUUAAGUAAGUCAAGUGAAGUUUUCUUUUUCC